GUAACUGUAGCACCUGAAAUGUUUGGAGGGGAUCCGUGCCCAAAUGUCAUGAAGAAACUAGCUGUGGAGGCUAUUUGCAGCUGAUGACAUAAUAUGUGGAGUAGAUGAAAUAAAGGAAGGUUCUUGAUUAAUUUUCUCACACUUCAACGCAGCAGCUUCAAUAUAUUAUUUUUUUGGGGUAAAUUAAACCUCAUAUCCAACGCCAAUAGGUCCACCACCACCACCAUUUGUUUGGCUUUUUACAGGGUGAAGUUUUAAAAAUAUACAGCACACCUUCUGGUCAAAAAGCCCACAGAUUGUGAAAAUGAUUGCAGAUAAGCUUUAUGUAUUUAAGCUAGCCAGUGAUUAAUAUUUCUACUCAUCAGCUGACCACAAGCUAAGGAGGGGUUUGGCAGAAGCACGUCGAGACGAAGUUAUUCAAGUCCAUGUGCAAAUUUCUUAGUUUUAGAAUAUGGAAAGCCUCUGGUUUCUUCUAAUCUUAUGUUUUCUUUCUAUUGCAUGUAACUUCCAGGCAAGCAAUUGC
rnacentral:misc_RNA from 1 species